rnacentral:tRNA from 1 species
GGAGAGGUGGCCGAGUGGUCGAAGGCGCACCCCUGCUAAGGGUGUAGGCGGGGAACCGUCUCGAGGGUUCGAAUCCCUUCCUCUCCGCCA